rnacentral:rRNA from 1 species
AGAGUUUGAUCAUGGCUCAGAAUGAACGCUGGCGGCGUGCUUUACACAUGCAAGUCGAGCGAGGCGGGUAGCAAUACCCAGUCGAGCGGCGAACGGGUGAGUAACGCGUGGAUGACCUGCCCUUUAGUUGGGAAUAACCCGGGGAAACUCGGGCUAAUACCGAAUGAGACCGAGAGGUGAAAGCGGGGUCGCAAGAUCUCGUGCUGAAGGAGGGGUCCGCGUCCGAUUAGCUAGUUGGUGAGGUAAUGGCUCACCAAGGCGACGAUCGGUAGCCGGCCUGAGAGGGUGAUCGGCCACACUGGAACUGAGACACGGUCCAGACUCCUACGGGAGGCAGCAGUGGGGAAUUUUGCGCAAUGGGCUAACGCCUGACGCAGCAACGCCGCGUGGAGGAUGAAGGUCCUUGGAUUGUAAACUCCUGUCAGCGGGGAAAAAGCGACUCGACCUAAUACGUCGGGGAGUUGAUUGUACCCGCAGAGGAAGCCCCGGCUAACUCUGUGCUAGCAGCCGCGGUAAUAC